ensembl:lncRNA
ACAGCUUCCCCAUACUCGGUUUUAGUGCAUUAAAGGCGCAGUAGUAGUUUUUUAAAAAAUGUAUAUCUCUUACUUACAGAUAAACGGUAAGAUACAUAAACAUGAUUUUAAAAUAAUUGUUUAAGCCAGUGGUUCCCAAACUUUUCCAGGGCAAGGCCCCCCCAAAUGGAAUUAACAUUUGACAGAGGCCCCCCUUUUGCAAGAUGUCUUUAAAACACAUUAAAAAUACAGACUUCUGAAUAUAUCCCCCCCUUUUUUCUAUUAAUAGUUACAUCUUGCAUCUUUACAUUACAUUAGAUUAGGAAUUGAUUGUGUGUGUGGUUGUCUGAGAGUGAGAAAGAGAAAAUCAUGUAUUUAUUUAUUUUUCACACCAAAUUGUUCCGGCCCCCACUUUGAAAACCACUGGUUUAAGCCAUGGCCUCAGCAUAAGUGUAUUAGGUGGGUAAGAAAACCUGGGCUGGAAUGCUUGUUUGCUUUUGGAUGGGCCUUCAUUUUUUAUAAACAGUCUAGGGACCACCAGAGACCUAAUCUUGUCAGAGGAAAAAAACGAUUUAAAGCUACAUCCACAUUAAUCCAGAUUAAUUUGAAAACGCAUCCUUUUCUGUCCACACUGUCUGGCGAAAACAAAGCUUUUCGAAAACAGCCUCCCAAGUGGAUAUAUUUGAAAAAUGCAGUUUUCACAUUGUAGUGUGGACUGAGAAAAUAGAGAUAUUCAAAAAUUAUGUAUUUUUAAGUCUAGCAGCCGUCACGUGACCCAGUCAGCUCAAAAACAAACAAGAUGGUGGAUGAUGUACUGCAGUUGUUGUGCCUGCAUUCCAGUUUGAUAGCUUUCUUAAAGAUGAAUGUCACUUUGUACAACCUUCGGAUUGCAUUUUUAAAUAAACGCCUGAGGGAAAUGACGCAGGGCAAAGCUUAUUAAGUUUUUUUUACGCAUGUGCAUUAGAGGGGUGUAAAGCAGUGUUUUCAGACAUUUGAGUGUGGACGAGCAGUUUCUGGAAAAUGUUUGCAAACGCCAGUGUAGACGGAGUGCGUUUUAAAACAAAAAUGCAAUUUUCAGAUCUAUCCGGAUUAAUGUUGAGUAAUCUUACCUAAUUCACCUUUACGUGAAACCCUUGUGUGUUUAUGCUCUGUGUUUACAUGCAAAACUUUUGACCAAUCCAAAUGAAUUCACUGUGAUUACAGGUACACUGUGUAAACAAAAUCUGUAUAAAGCCCCUGUUUACAUGCACAUUAUAUGUAAUCCGAUCCAGAGUUAUGUGCACGCCUGGAACAAGUAUAAUGUGGAUCAAGUCUCAGCAAAACCUCACCUAUUGUUAUUAUUAAACGCACAGCGAGGAGAAGACUUGUGAUUGCAGCGCGUGCUUUCCUAGUACAGGCGUGCGCGCGCUACAUAUAUCCCCAGCGAGAAGAGAAAAUGGAGGAAGUCAUUACGUUGACCGCGUUGCAGACUACCUAUAUUCCUAAGUGAGUAUGCAUCACUGAACGUUUCCGAUAACAGCUAGGUAAAUAAAAAAAAAUAUAUAUAUAUUUACGACAGCAGGUUUAAUCGGCUAACAUCAAAUUCCUUUAAUUAAACCCUUGCGCGAGCCUAGUCACCGAUAAUGGCGUCACGGUCGAAGGCCACCAUAUUAUCAACAUAACGCUGUCUGCAGAAUGAAAAGCUAUUGUAAGUAAAAUAAUGCACAGGCUGCAUUUAUGGGUAAUUCGCUCGUCCUGCAUACUGCAUGCAAAUACACGGAGGUGGUCGUGAACGCGAGGUCUUCGUUGUGUGUCGCUAUGGUGAUUAGCUAACUAAGCUAACGGAAGAGAAAACUAGCAUGGCGUUUGACCGUGUGGCUCGCGCACAGUUCGGGGUUGGGGGGAGUUUAGCUAGCACGAAGCCUUUUGGUCAAUAUUUUAUAUCUGAGGUGAUGUACUAUACAUUGUAGUGGUUCUGUAAGUCAGCAUUGCUUUGUAAAUUUAUUUCAAUUUAUCGAAUGUUUGUUUAGCCGUUUUAGCAAAACUAAUGGGUGUUGCGCAUGCGCGUUGACUCGUUAGCGUGUCCCAUAACAAUAGAAAAACAGCGCGAGUGUUGUUAACAAUUAUAAUAACGUUAUUGAGUUAUCACAACGAUUUGAGUUUUUUGGGGGGUGGGGGUUAAAAUAUAAACUUAUUACAGUACAUCGAAUUUUAUUCUCUCGAGAAGAUGAGCAGUAUGUUUAGCUCGCUAGCAUAGCUGUGCAUGUAGCAGGUAGUUAACGGGUUUAUGUUGCGUUCACGCGCUCCUCGGAUUGUACGAGCUUUCAUUUGCGUCCAAGUCGUAUUGUUAGUCGUUAGCCUGAUCUGUUUUGGUUUCCUCUUACCGUUCUCAUCUAUUGAAAACAAAAUGGGUUACAUGUAUAAGUUGCUGUAUGCGGCUUAGUGAGUACUGAAACUAAGUGAUAACGUUAUUCAUUAAAAAACACAUUACUUACGACUAUUAUAGUUCGUCUUUGGAUGAAAGUGCAAAAGUUAACUAUGGUUUAAAAAUCAUUUCUGACGUUGAAAUUCGCUAUUACGACUUCACGUGUAACGUUUAGGUCAGUAACUCUUGUGUAAAAGAUUUCCGACCUCACAUGACCAGACAUGCACUGAGCUCAAUAACACAAAACAGGUCUAUAGGUGAAGCCAACAAGUCAAUAAGAAACUCGUGUGCAUUCGGUAAUAUGGCGUCCCAUCAGGACUACCUUGAGUUCUUCUUCAGAGGAAAUUCAUUUUCAAAUUCUGCCUAAAAUGCCUUUGUGUUUCAGUGGUCUCUGGGCGAGGUCACACGUUUCCCAUAAUGCUUCUGUUGUAUUUUUGAAGUUGGUAGUUUUCUGGUGGAAUAAAACACCACGGGGGCGUGAUGCUCUGAAAAUAAUCACUGACCCAAGACUUGAUGAUUUCCUAUAUCCUAUAAAAGCAUGACAACUGUCUUGUGUUUUUCUUAACGAAUAUAGUUGUUUUUUUUUCUGUUUAUUAAAGAAUGACAUCUUACUUUUUAUUCGGUUUAUGUUUACAUUUAAUGUUGUGGAACGUCCACGGGACAGAAUAGUCCCUGUUAUGAGUUACGGCUAUAAACUGACCAUCAUAUAAACACCCUCUUGAUGCGAGAAAUAUGAAAGACAACUCAUAACAUAAUUUGUUUCUGGGGAUGGACAAGACGGCAGCCGAGGUAUUCUGUUUUGUCUUCAGAUAAAAAUUUCUCUUUACUCAAAGCACAAAGUCCUCUGUCUGGACCGGUUUCCCCAUGGCAGAACAGCUUGUCGUAUAAAUCCCUCAGAGUUAGCAGUUACCAUAUAGUCAGUACUAUUGUCAGAGCCGCUGUUAUAGAAAAUUAAUCAACACCUGACUGAAGAAUUCAGCAGCACUGUGAUAUGAUUUUGCCAUGUGUCCGUCUGAGAUUUUGACAUUAUGUAGGGAAUACAAGUUAUAGUAAUUUUCCUAGUGGGGUAAUAUUGAUGUCUUUCACAUAAAUCUGUUUUAAGUAAAAAAAAAAAUGUUUCAUAAUUAAAAAAAUGAUUGCCAAUUAGUUUGUAGGACACUUGAUGAUUGUACAGUCACAGAUAUCUGCUGCAUUCCUUCUUUAUCUUAGUGUAUAACACGACCUGCUCUUCUAUUCAAACAGCCGUAUAUGGGGUCAAAGCAAAGGAGAAUGAAAUGUAGUAGCCAUGAUAGUCAUUCAUCCUAAUGCCAAGUUCAUUCAUCCAGACUGAAUAUUUUGGUUUACU